AGAGUUUGAUCCUGGCUCAGGAUGAACGCUGACAGAAUGCUUAACACAUGCAAGUCGACUCGAGUCUUCGGACUUGGGUGGCGCACGGGUGAGUAACGCGUAAAGAACUUGCCUCUUAGACUGGGACAACAUCUGGAAACGGAUGCUAAUACCGGAUAUUAUGGUUUCUUCGCAUGGAGGAAUCAUGAAAGCUAGAUGCGCUAAGAGAGAGCUUUGCGUCCCAUUAGCUGGUUGGUGAGGUAACGGCCCACCAAGGCAAUGAUGGGUAGCCGGCCUGAGAGGGUGAACGGCCACAAGGGGACUGAGACACGGCCCUUACUCCUACGGGAGGCAGCAGUGGGGAAUAUUGGACAAUGGACCACAAGUCUGAUCCAGCAAUUCUGUGUGCACGAUGACGUUUUUCGGAAUGUAAAGUGCUUUCAGUCGGGAAGAAGUCAGUGACGGUACCGACAGAAGAAGCGACGGCUAAAUACGUGCCAGCAGCCGCGGUAAUACGUAUGUCGCAAGCGUUAUCCGGAUUUAUUGGGCGUAAAGCGCGUCUAGGCGGCAAGGAAAGUCUGAUGUGAAAAUGCGGAGCUCAACUCCGUAUGGCGUUGGAAACUGCCUUACUAGAGUACUGGAGAGGUAGGCGGAACUACAAGUGUAGAGGUGAAAUUCGUAGAUAUUUGUAGGAAUGCCGAUGGGGAAGCCAGCCUACUGGACAGAUACUGACGCUAAAGCGCGAAAGCGUGGGUAGCAAACAGGAUUAGAUACCCUGGUAGUCCACGCUGUAAACGAUGAUUACUAGGUGUUGGGGGUCAAACCUCAGCGCCCAAGCUAACGCGAUAAGUAAUCCGCCUGGGGGAGUACGUACGCAAGUAUGAAACUUAAAGGAAUUGACGG
rnacentral:rRNA from 1 species